AUGGAGACUCUGACAGUGAUAAACUGCUGCAUCUUCACGCUGGGCGGCGUUGAUGGCACCCAGCUCAUCGUUGAUUUGGGAGUGGUGCAGCCCACGCUGAGCGUCCUCCCUCCCUCCAGAGUGGAGCUGGAGCAGGGCAGUGCUACACUGCUGUGUGUGGCCAGUGGGGGCUUCCCCUCAGACUGGAAGCUUGGCUGGAAGGUGGGGGGCAGCAGCAGGUCUGGGGGGGUGUCAGAUAGCCUGGGGGUCCUGGGGAAAGAUGGCCACUACAGCUGGAGCAGCACCUUGUCCCUCCCUGCAGACCAGUGGAGGAAGGCGGGCUCAGUGAGCUGUGAGGCCAGUAAGAAUGGCCAGACGCAGCCUGUCACUCAAACCCUGAAUCCUGGAGAGUGUUCAGAGUAGAGAGGCUCCAGCAUGGAAGAACUGGAGGACACAGAUCUCCUCUGACACGUCUGCUUUAUUUCUCUUUUUCUGAGGUGACACUGCAGAUUUUGAUAAAUUACAUUAAUAUAACAUGUCUUCUAAUCAAUAACAUGAUGCUCUCUGGAUUUGACCCCUUGCUUGUGUUGGUCACAUGUUGAACAUUUAAUAAAGAUGUUAAGAUUAAA